rnacentral:lncRNA from 1 species
CUCUGGCUCUGGAUACUUGAAAUACCACCUUAUCACAUUCCAGCUAUGCCAGAAUUUGAGGUCACACAGAAGCAGUUUGCCGACGCUUAAGCUCAUCCAAGAUAUUACUAGGGGAGCUGCCUGUCAGCAUCACACACGUGGAAUAGACUUAUAUCCAAGGUUUAAUGUCUUGAUAGCUGGAUGACUGCAUUAGAAAAAUCAAGUCUAGAGUGACAGAGAACCGAGUAUUUCUCCUACAAAAACCACCUACAGCAAUAUUAUUGAUGUUUCUACUAUGUUCUCCGAACUGCUUAAGGUUUGUUUGCAUCCUGUCUGAACUCUUUUUGGUAUUGGANGUGGCUGGGAUGAGUGCAACUGGGGAAAGUUGCUGUGGUCAACUAAGCAGCGGUGUUCAAGCAGUCAAGGGCCAAAUUCAACCAAAGUGGCAGAGGUAUGCACAGUUUUUNCCCAAAACCCUUGAAAAAGCCCCAUAUUGUCAUCAUCAAGAGCUUGAGGGAUGCUGCCCACAUUUACCUGUGCUCACCUGGGAAUGA